UGAACGCUGGCGGCGUGCCUACUACAUGCAAGUCGAGCGAACGGACGAGAAGCUUGCUUCUCUGAUGUUAGCGGUGGACGGGUGAGUAACACGUGGAUAACCUACCUAUAAGACUGGGAUAACUUCGGGAAACCGGAGCUAAUACCGGAUAAUAUUUUGAACCGCAUGGUUCAAAAGUGAAAGACGGUCUUGCUGUCACUUAUAGAUGGAUCCGCGCUGCAUUAGCUAGUUGGUAAGGUAACGGCUUACCAAGGCAACGAUGCAUAGCCGACCUGAGAGGGUGAUCGGCCACACUGGAACUGAGACACGGUCCAGACUCCUACGGGAGGCAGCAGUAGGGAAUCUUCCGCAAUGGGCGAAAGCCUGACGGAGCAACGCCGCGUGAGUGAUGAAGGUCUUCGGAUCGUAAAACUCUGUUAUUAGGGAAGAACAUAUGUGUAAGUAACUGUGCACAUCUUGACGGUACCUAAUCAGAAAGCCACGGCUAACUACGUG
rnacentral:rRNA from 1 species